UACAGAGGGUGCGAGCGUUGUUCGGAAUUAUUGGGCGUAAAGGGCGCGUAGGCGGUGCGGUAAGUCACCUGUGAAAUCUCCUGGCUCAACUGGGAGCUUGCAGGCGAAACUGCCGUGCUGGAGUGUGGGAGAGGUGCGUGGAAUUCCCGGUGUAGCGGUGAAAUGCGCAGAUAUCGGGAAGAACACCCGUGGCGAAGGCGGUUCUCUGGGACGGUACUGACGCUGAGACGCGAAAGCGUGGGGAGCGAACAGG
rnacentral:rRNA from 1 species